GCCUCGGUGGUUCAGUGGUAGCACGCGUCCUCGGUAUGGGUGAAAUGCGAGCUCAACUUUCGCCUGAGGUU